UACGGGGGGGGCAAGCGUUGUUCGGAAUUACUGGGCGUAAAGGGCGCGUAGGCGGGGAGGUAAGUCGGGUGUGAAGUCCCUCGGCCCAACCGAGGAACUGCGCCCGAGACUGCUUCUCUUGAGUCCCGGAGAGGAAGAUGGAAUUCCCGGUGUAGCGGUGAAAUGUGUAGAGAUCGGGAGGAACACCGGUGGCGAAGGCGGUCUUCUGGACGGUGACUGACGCUGAGGCGCGAAAGCGUGGGGAGCAAACGGG
rnacentral:rRNA from 1 species